rnacentral:rRNA from 1 species
GACGAACGCUGGCGGCGUGCUUAACACAUGCAAGUCGAACGGUAAGGCCCUUCGGGGUACACGAGUGGCGAACGGGUGAGUAACACGUGGGUGAUCUGCCCUGCACUUCGGGAUAAGCCUGGGAAACUGGGUCUAAUACCGGAUAGGACCACUGCCUGCAUGGGUGGUGGUGGAAAGCUUUGGCGGUGUGGGAUGGGCCCGCGGCCUAUCAGCUUGUUGGGGGGGUGAUGGCCUACCAAGGCGACGACGGGUAGCCGGCCUGAGAGGGUGACCGGCCACACUGGGACUGAGAUACGGCCCAGACUCCUACGGGAGGCAGCAGUGGGGAAUAUUGCACAAUGGGCGCAAGCCUGAUGCAGCGACGCCGCGUGAGGGAUGACGGCCUUCGGGUUGUAAACCUCUUUCAGCACCGACGAAGCGCAAGUGACGGUAGGUGCAGAAGAAGGACCGGCCAACUACGUGCCAGCAGCCGCAGUAAGAC